CCUACGGGUGGCAGCAGUGGGGAAUAUUGGGCAAUGGAGGAAACUCUGACCCAGCAACGCCGCGUGAAUGAUGAAGGUCUUCGGAUUGUAAACUGCUUUAGACAGGGAAGAAACAAGACAGUACCUGUAAAAUAAGCUCCGGCUAACUACGUGCCAGCAGCCGCGGUAAUACGUAGGGAGCAAGCGUUAUCCGGAUUUAGUGGGUGUAAAGGGUGCGUAGACGGGAAGUCAAGUUGGUUGUGAAAUCCCUCGGCUUAACUGAGGAACUGCAACCAAACCUAACUUUGUUGAGUGCUGGAGAGGAAAGUGGAAUUCCUAGUGUAGCGGUGAAAUGCGUAGAUAUUAGGAGGAACACCAGUGGCGAAGGCGACUUUCUGGACAGUAACUGACGUUGAGGCACGAAAGUGUGGGGAGCAAACAGGAUUAGAUACCCCAGUAGUC
rnacentral:rRNA from 1 species